GAGUCGGCGAAUAUAGGAGGCGCCCCGAGCUUGGUUGGGCGAGUCGGCGAAUAUCCGAGGUCGAAGAAGUUUUCGAAGGAGUUCGAGGUCGGGCUGGAACUGGGCCGGAUCGAAGUUUCGUCUGGCUAGCGUUGGUGUCUAUUGGGCCGAAAUUGGGUAGCCUUUUUGUUGUGGGCAGGACGAUAUAUCUAUUUCGUCCCCCGUCAACCAUUAUUUUAAUUACCGGUGGUACGGUGUCAAAGCUAGUUUCUCACAUAUACAAGUCAACAGGGCCAAUAAAUAAUCUCCACUUGCAGGGCCAGAACAGAUUAUAUUCAUGCUGAGAAUAUAUACAUAUAAAAAUAGAUUUCAUAAAUUACCCAGCCAUAUUUUCUAAAUUUCAUAACAUAACAUAUAACAUAAUUUAAAAUAAUUACUACCAUAACAAUAACAUGCCUGACCUGUUUAACUAAAUAUAAAACAUAAAUCAAAAUUAACUGAUAAUUAUUUUAUCAAAUAAUUUGGAAAACACACUUUAAAGAUUAGGUUAAUUACCUCUUAAAAUUAUCAUCAUUUUGGGGAGUCUCCUCAACCUGCCAUUGCUGAAAUUGUUUCUUCCAUAUAGGCAGAAUUUUCUUGGGAAGCACUACCAAGGGCCUUGCAAAUGGAUGCUUGGCCAAAAAGCUCUGGAGAAAACCAAUGAGCGUAAAAGUUUUACCAGAUCCCAGGGCAUGAGCCAGAAUGCAACCCUCCGGUUUAUCAUUUACUAAAUUUCUAACCAAAACAUGAAAGCCUUCUAACUGAUGUGGCUUCAUUUGCUCCAAAUGCCUUGGAUGGAUAGAAAUGUCAGCUGCUAUAAAAUCUUCCAAAAAUUUAGGUCCCGAAUAUUGUAAUGUUUCGUCUACUUGAUCUGGACAUCAGCGUCCUUGCUGCCCGUGUGGCCUUUGCCUAUUGGUAUUCAAAUAUUGUGUCUAUACUUCUUUGAAUAACUUCGCAGAUACGACAAACAAUGCCUAGAUCAUCCUGAAGUACGGGGAAGCGCUUGCAUUCUUCUUCUUCUUCUUCCUGUACAGCAGCUGGCUCAACAUAUUUGGGACUCUUUGAGCACUCCAUAUCUAAUGACAUUUCUUUCCAAGAUCAUCCAGCUGAUGCUCAUCAAUUUCUAAGUUUUCUGCUUCAUCUUGUUGGCAGAUUCCCAUGAUAUAUCGAUGAAUGCUCCUGCGCAGCCGCAGAUGAAACAAGCGUGAAGUUUACAUCAGUUUUUUUUUCCUCCAUAGUCAUUUCAAAAGCAAGAGCUUUUCCACCUUGUCUUUCACCUCUCUUCUCUGCUUAGUCUUGGUUCACAAGAUCCUGAAAUCGCUGCUUCUCAGGAACUUUCUGUAGGACAACUUUUUGAUAUGGAACAGAUGGUUGCCUGUUUGCUCUCAAUGCAACACUACCAUCUAACUUAUUACUUCCAUAGUCAUGGGGAAUUAUCUGGUUUGAAUGACUUUCUUGCGUUAUCAUGGCUUGUCUUUGGAAGCUCUCAAUUCGAGUUCCAGUGUUUGUGAAUCAGAGGAUUUCCUUCCAGAAUGGGAAGCAUGUUGACUUCCUGUUUGAUGGAUUGCAUCUUCAUCAUCUGAAUCAAGAAUUAUGACAGAUGUGCUGUCUUUCCCUUCUUUGUAUUUUGGGCAAGAAUCCAUAUUCUCAUGGAUGUAUUGGCAGCAGCAUCAAUGAAGUCAGCCUCUAAGUCAAUUAUAUCUGAAGAUAUUGAACUCUCAACACGUCGAUCUCAAUUCUGAUUCCCUUUGGUUGAUAGGUCCGACCAAGUAUUUGUCCCACGAUGAGAGCUAGAAAAUAGACUUGGACAGGAAUUUGCAAGUGAUGGCCGUAAUGUGGACAAGAAUUUGAUGACCUGCAUCCUCUGAGCAUGGAGAGUUUCAUACUCUGUGGUUACACUUCCAUAUAUUCCAUCAUCCAAGCUCUCCAGAAGAUUCGACAAAGCAAGUGGAUCUGAAUAAUCUCCAACUUUGGAGACUUUUCUUUGGCUUUCUCAAAACCAGAACAUAAAACUGUCACCUCUGAUUUGUAACGAUAGUUCUUAUCCUCAUCGUCUAACUUUGAUCGUUUA